AUUGAACGCUGGCGGCAUGCCUUACACAUGCAAGUCGAACGGCAGCACGGGGGCAACCCUGGUGGCGAGUGGCGAACGGGUGAGUAAUAUAUCGGAACGUACCCUGGAGUGGGGGAUAACGUAGCGAAAGUUACGCUAAUACCGCAUACGAUCUAAGGAUGAAAGUGGGGGAUCGCAAGACCUCAUGCUCCUGGAGCGGCCGAUAUCUGAUUAGCUAGUUGGUGGGGUAAAGGCCUACCAAGGCAUCGAUCAGUAGCUGGUCUGAGAGGACGACCAGCCACACUGGGACUGAGACACGGCCCAGACUCCUACGGGAGGCAGCAGUGGGGAAUUUUGGACAAUGGGGGGCAACCCUGAUCCAGCAAUGCCGCGUGAGUGAAGAAGG
rnacentral:rRNA from 1 species